rnacentral:rRNA from 1 species
UGGGGAAUUUUGGACAAUGGGCGAAAGCCUGAUCCAGCAAUGCCGCGUGUGUGAAGAAGGCCUUCGGGUUGUAAAGCACUUUUGUCCGGAAAGAAAUCCUUGGCUCUAAUACAGUCGGGGGAUGACGGUACCGGAAGAGUAAGCACCGGCUAACUACGUGCCAGCAGCCGCGGUAAUACGUAGGGUGCAAGCGUUAAUCGGAAUUACUGGGCGUAAAGCGUGCGCAGGCGGUUUGCUAAGACCGAUGUGAAAUCCCCGGGCUCAACCUGGGAACUGCAUUGGUGACUGGCAGGCUAGAGUAUGGCAGAGGGGGGUAGAAUUCCACGUGUAGCAGUGAAAUGCGUAGAGAUGUGGAGGAAUACCGAUGGCGAAGGCAGCCCCCUGGGCCAAUACUGACGCUCAUGCACGAAAGCGUGGGGAGCAAACAGGAUUAGAUACCCUGGUAGUCCACGCCCUAAACGAUGUCAACUAGUUGUUGGGGAUUCAUUUCCUUAGUAACGUAGCUAACGCGUGAAGUUGACCGCCUGGGGAGUACGGUCGCAAGAUUAAAAGC